UCAGUUGGUAGAGCAUAACCUUGCCAAGGUUGGGGUCGCGAGUUCGAGUCUCGUUUCCCGCUCCA
rnacentral:tRNA from 4 species